AGCAACAGAAUGGUUGAACAGUUUCCAGAAAACAUCAGUUUUCCUGCUAAAGAAGAGAAAAUCUUGCAGUUCUGGUCCAAAUUUAAUUGCUUCCAGCAAUGCUUAAAGCAAUCAAAACGUAGGCCAAAAUUUACCUUCUAUGACGGGCCUCCCUUUGCAAUUGGACUGCCUCACUAUGGACAUAUAUUUUCAGGGACAAUUAAAGAUACAGUUACAAGAUACGCUCACCAGAAUGGGUUUCAUGUUGAUAGAAGAUUUGGAUGUGAUUGUCAUGGCCUACCUGUGGUACUUUUCAGUCUCCAGGAAAUAUGAAAUUGAUAAGACACUGGGAAUCAACGGGCCAGAGGACGUGGCAAAAAUGAGGAUUGCGGAAUAUAACAGUGCCGAGCCAUUGUGAUGAGAUAUUCUACUGAGUGGAGGUGUAAAGAGAAUGGUGCUUUCACUGUGCUUGUUGACCACUAUGUGAAGGAUGAAGAAGGCACCGGAGUUGUACACCAGGCCCCUUACUUCGGUGCUGAUGACUUUCGAGUCUGUAUGGACUUCAAUAUUAUUCAGAAAGAUUCAACCCCUAUUUGCCCCGUGGAUGCUUCAGGCUGCUUCACAGAAGAAGUGACACAUUUUGUUGGGCAGUAUGUGAAGGUCAGACACUCCCCUUAUUUACAAGUCAGUGCCCAGUUGGUUUGUGCGAGUGGAGCACAUGGUGGACCAGCUCCUUAAGAACAAUGACCUGUGUUACUGGGUCCCAGAGUUUGUUCGAGAAAAGCGGUUUGGAAAUUGGCUGAAAGACGCACAUGACUGGGCAAUUUCCAGAAAUAGAUACUGGGGUUCUCCUAUCCCACUGUGGGUCAGCGAAGACUUUGAGGAGGUAGUUUGCAUUGGGUCAGUGGCAGGACUUGAAGAACUGUCAGGAGCAAAAAUCUCAGAUCUCCACAGAGAGAGAUCCUGAUUGUAGGGGUUCCAAGGCCAGAGCGAUGAUUGCACAAAGACAAGACCCUCAGAGGAAUGGAUUCCCCUUGCUGAUGAGCUUGCUGCAGAGUUUUCAUUACUUACUUCUUCCAAACUUUUAGAUUUAAUGAGGCUCUCCGCAAGAGAUGAAACCAAUAACAAUGUUUAUGAACUAACUGAAAAAAAACUUAGAAACUUGACUGAUUCACUUUUACUCUGGAGCUUUUUUAAAGCUCUUGCAAAGUAUCAAUAUAUUCUGCCUAGACUGAACGGGAAUUUCCCGUGACUCCACAGUCCCAAAAGUUUCACUUACUUCAGAGCAUUCCCUUUUGGUCUGUGUUCCUGGUAUGUGCUGUAUCCAUUGAGCCCCAUGUCAAGUGCCAGAUGUAGUCGUUGAGUGAGCAGAGACUCGAAAGGACUGGAAGACACAGUGGAGCAUCUGAGACUCACCGUCCACAGACGCAGAUCCUUCUCAUUCCUGAUCUUUUAUUCAGUACUAAAAUAAUGGAUGGGUUGAUUUUACAGAAAAUCUUGUGCCAAGAACACAUAAGACAUACAAUAACAGGUUACAUACAGUAAGAAAUUAAGGAAUACAAUGUAUAAAUGUUAUCAAAGUGACCUCUAAACUAAACAUAUGUGCCAGAAUUGUCUCCUUCCUGGAAUAGCUUCAGCCCAACCAGUGUUUUCAAAAACUUAAGAGCAGGUUUUGGGGCUGGAGCGAUGGCUCAGCGGUUAAGAACACUGGUGGUUCUUGCAGAAAACCCAGGUUCAAAUCCCAGCACCCACAUGGCCGCUAACAACUGGCCGUAACUCCGGUUCCAGGGGAUCCG